UCAAUAGGACAGAAGAGCUCCUUGGCACUGGAUGCCUCCGGGUCUGGUUGAGAGAGGAAUGGUUAGGAGACUGUUCUGAGGAUACGCAGACAUCAUCCAAAGCUUCCUACAUUCAGAUGAGGACAGAGGUUGGGCCAGAGCUUUGUAAGCUUGUUACCUAAGGAUGGUUCUGACCAUGUAAGCAGAUCACAGAAGCUGGAGGCAAAGGAUGCCAAGAUGGGAAAGCCACAUAAUGGAAGGAUCCUGGAUUUCAGAGCUGUCACUUGGAGGAGGGGCACCCAGUGAAGGUGUCUUAUCUAACCCACACCAUAUCUUCAUGAAGUGGCCAUAUGGAUUUGAUCCCUAUCCUUCAGAGGUGCUCAGCCUAAGGGAACACGGAUAGUAGAUUAAGCACUGACCAGAGCCAGCCUUGACAAUGUGCUGAUGGCAACCUAGAACAUAAGCAGAGGAGUAUACAGGACAAGAACUUGAUGGUCUCGGGAAAAUGGACAACAUGACUCAGGUGAAAAAGAUUGAUCAUCAGAUGUUUCUUAUGUAUCAACCUGAUAUUUAAAUCCAUGAAGGACAGAGACGACAAAGGCAGGUGGAAUAGAUAGAGAAGAGAUUCAAGGUCUGAGCUCUACAUUACUCAAACUGUUAGAGAUUAGGAAGAAGAGGAAGACCUGGCAAAAGAAUGUCCUGGGAUGUAGAAAGAAAACCAGAAGCUUGUGUUCUCUGGAAACCAAAUGAAGAAAGGGCUUCCAGAAGGACAGACAAAGUGUAGUGUGUCAAAGGCUCCUGAGCAAUCAGAGGAGAGCACAAAGGGGCUCACAGGACUUUGGUAUCUGGAUCACCCAGUGACACUUCCUGAUCACGAGAAACUGUCAGACCAACAGGGGCACUUUCUGAAACCAGCAGUUCUUCAGUGCCCAAAUGCAACCUUGAUGGUUUGAUUUUGGAGGAUGGCAAUUCAUUAACAGCACUCCCCAGUGAUAAAUAUGAAAACCAAUAAAACCCCCCACCCAAGGCAAUCUCUCCCAGCUCCUCGCUUUGAGUAAAGUGAGUAACCUCCAUUUCUGCCAACUCCUGUCUUGUCUGAAGCCACAUUUCCCCAGCAAUGUCACAUAUGCAUUUCUUGAUCCUGGUCAUUUCUCCUCUUGGGAGAUGAAUCAUAAAGAAAAUGAGAUCUGUGUGCCCUGGUGACUAUGGAUGCAAGAGUCUGCUGCCCUGGAGGGAACAGCUGGAAAAGUAGAUGGUGAAGACGUGUGGGGGGGAAACAGUGGAGAAGGCAUCUUUGCAGGGGAUCAAGGUGACAGAGUGAUUAGUUACACUGUUUUGACAUGUGAGAACAGGGGGUUAUAAAAAUGGAUACAGGAAGAGGGAGAGAAAGUAAGGACCAAAACAUGAAGCCAGUCAUGAAUGUUUUUACAUAAAAAGCAGCAGAUUUACGGCAAAUAUGUGAUGUUUCCACAUUUUCUGCCUCUAGUUAGCAGGGGCAGCACAAAGAGCAUUACUGUGGAGCUGAACUUUGGGUAAAAGAUUAACAGCCAGUCCUUUCUCUCCAGUGUCUGCUUCCUUCUGGGCUUGCCCUGGGGGAAAAGGAGGGCUGGCAUGGAUAUGCCUGCAGCCCUCACCCUAGAUGUUCUUCCACGCCUCUCUGUUCAUUCAUUGCUUAGUCAUUCCUCAGGCAUGGAUUGAGACCACUGUGUGCCCAGGACCGACCUGGCCUAGGAUGGACAUAGAGAUGGAAAAGGCACAGGGAGCAGGUGACAGAGACAAAUCAAGGUCAUGGAGAAUAGCAGAGUAAGAUAGAAGAUGAAGGCAGGAGAUGGGGUUCUUGAGAAAGCGAGAGCAGGACUGACCCGUGUCUGCCUCACCUGUUAUUGCUGUAGCCUCUUCUCCUUGGAGUAUCCCUCCUGCUCUUGCAUCACCUUAGGAACUUGGAUCAGAGAGGAAAGUUACGGCCUGGAUAUGUUGUAGUAGGAGGGGACAAACAUGUUUGGAGACAGAAAUGCUUGGGGAGCGGGUGUUUUUGGGGGAUGAGACUUUCCAGGUCUCUCAAUUCACACUAUGUAGGUAGUUCACUGCACAGCUUAAAUAAGAGACAACUCUCCGGAGUGGUUGGCUCUCAUCCAAAAAAUGUGUUUUGGGCCUCAGAUUUCCAACGGAAGGGCUGAAGCGUGACUGGCCUGAUGUCAACUACUGAAGUCCACCUGCCCCUGCCCUAUCAGGUGUGGAAAUGCUGGGGUUCCUCUCUCAGAACCUACUUCCUGAGAUGUCGAAAUAUACCCAAGAGUAUUUCUGGGCCUUCUCCAAUCCGAAACUGUUUAGUUUUUGUGUGUGUGUGCCUACUUGGCCACACUAGAAGACAGAGGUGGCCUGGGUGAAAUGCAGGUUUCUAGAGGCUCUCUGACAAAGCUCAGGCCACCAGCCCCAGGCCAGCCUGUGGGUAGUCCUGGCUGACAGUCACUUCAUACCUCACCUGGGCUUUUUGCCAAAUUCAAAGUGUGUGUAUAUGUGGAGUGCUGGGUUCCCACCACUGACAGUCUGUAAGUCAUUCACUUAGCUCAAUUUGUCUUACUUUCUUCUGAAAUUUCUUCCUUCUUGUUCUUUUUCCCAGGAGAAACCAGGAGAAGGCAGUCCUAGGGCAGUCUCCGGGCCAGCUUUCCCUAAUAAGAAGGCAGAGCUCCUCUUCACCCAGACUUCAGACCUAUAGAGGCAGCCUGGGGUCCCGGGAUGCCCUUGCACUCAGAGAUGUCCCCAGAGUCCUAGGGAAAUGGAGGAUAACUAGGAGGAAGCUGUUCAUGGCUGGCGAUGAGGUCUAUACCUUCUUGUCCGUCUCAGUGCUGUCUGCUAUUGAAUUUUUGUGCAGAUCACAUUAACUUAAAGCCAGUUCUCAAGAAGCUCCCCCUGCCGCCGGCAUAUCCACCAGUUGCUCCCCUUUCCUGCCAUUAAUCAGGGUCUGCUAGUUAGAGAACAAAUUCCUAUUUGUCCAAACAGUUGCCAACACCCCCACCCCAAGGUAGUUAAAUGAGGAUGAAUGGGUCAUUCUUAUUAAAAAAUGACUUAAAUUUCUCAAAUUCUAUUUAUGUUUCUUUUACAUCCCAAUUUUCUAUAGAUUUAGUGACUCCAAAUGAUAAGGUCUCAAGCUCAUAAUAAUUUAUCCCUUGGGUAACACACAAGGCUUGGUGGUAUUUCAGUAAUAUUCAUGACAACAGCAGCUGUCGUGCUAAUAAGGACUGAUGUCACCAGAGCACUUUCUAUGUGCCAAGCAUGGUGCACAACACUUUACAUACAUUAUGUCAUUUAAUUUUCACAAAAC
rnacentral:lncRNA from 10 species